GAAAUGCCAUACUUAGUGUGAAUUGCAGAAUUCCGUGAAUCAUCGAAAUCUUGAACGCAUCUUGCGCUUGCAGGUCCUCCUGCAAGCAUGCCUGUUUGAGCGUCGCUUCAUCAUCUCGCUCUCAAGAUAACCUCUUCAGAGAGCGGUCUUGGCCGUCAGACUCUGCGGUCUGUUGGCUGAAAUGUCGAGCUGAGAGCCCGUCUUGAGGCCAUGAUAGUGCGGUUGACGCGCCUCGUGCGUGAUAUUGGCACUGCUCUGACCUCUCAGGGACCUUCUCUGCCUUGUCCUUGCGACCCAAAACCCCUCGACAUCAAAUCAGGUAGGGAGACCCGCUGAACUUAA
rnacentral:misc_RNA from 1 species